rnacentral:rRNA from 1 species
UACGUAGGGUGCAGGCGUUAAUCGGAAUUACUGGGCGUAAAGCGUGCGCAGGCGGCUCCUUAAGUCAGAUGUGAAAUCCCCAGGCUCAACCUGGGAACUGCGUCCGAUACUGGAUGGCUUGAAUCCGGGAGAGGGAUGCAGAAUUCCAGGUGUAGCGGUGAAAUGCGUAGAUAUCUGGAGGAAUACCGGUGGCGAAGGCGGCAUCCUGGACCGGCAUUGACGCUGAGGAGCGAAAGCCAGGGGAGCAAACGGG